GCUCUGUGAGCACAGCUACAUGGCAGCCACCAGCAUCGAGGGGGUGGGCCUCACAGGCCCUGCGGCUCCCACUGCCCCACCUUCUGAUCAUGACUCUCUGGCCAGGUGCCAAGCCUUCCAAACUGAUAAGAAAAGGCUCCUCCCCCCAAUGCCGACUCAGGUACCACAAGCAGCAGCCACCGCUAACUAACCACCUGCCGUGUGCCAGGGCCCAGUGGUGCCCAUAUUCACCUUAUAACCACUCUGCCUACAGGGCCUGGCUCAGCUGCUCAGAACAGGCACCUGAAACAGGAAGGAGAGCACAGAGCUGCCUCUCCGGCCCAGGCCUGACCAUCCUGACCGACCCCAAGCAACUCACAGGCCAGUGGGAGCGGUCCCCAGGCCAAGGCAAGAGCCCUGGACCAGGAAGGGUAUGAAGAGGGGAUCCAAGCCCAUCUGACGGCUGAG